rnacentral:rRNA from 1 species
AGCAGUAGCCACGGGAAUACGUAGGGUGCGAGCGUUGUCCGGAAUUACUGGGCGUAAAGAGCUCGUAGGUGGUUUGUCGCGUCGUUUGUGUAAGCCCGCAGCUUAACUGCGGGACUGCAGGCGAUACGGGCAUAACUUGAGUGCUGUAGGGGAGACUGGAAUUCCUGGUGUAGCGGUGGAAUGCGCAGAUAUCAGGAGGAACACCGAUGGCGAAGGCAGGUCUCUGGGCAGUAACUGACGCUGAGGAGCGAAAGCAUGGGUAGCGAACAGGAUUAGAUACCCGCGUAGUCCCUGUCUCUUAUU